rnacentral:rRNA from 1 species
UACGUAGGGUGCGAGCGUUGUCCGGAAUUACUGGGCGUAAAGAGCUCGUAGGUGGUUUGUCGCGUUGUCCGUGAAAACUCACAACUCAAUUGUGGGCGUGCGGGCGAUACGGGCAGACUGGAGUACUGCAGGGGAGACUGGAAUUCCUGGUGUAGCGGUGGAAAUGCGCAGAUAUCAGGAGGAACACCGGUGGCGAAGGCGGGUCUCUGGGCAGUAACUGACGCUGAGGAG